rnacentral:rRNA from 1 species
UACGUAGGGUGCAAGCGUUGUCCGGAAUUAUUGGGCGUAAAGAGCUCGUAGGCGGUCUGUCACGUCGGCUGUGAAAUCCCGAGGCUCAACCUCGGGUCUGCAGUCGAUACGGGCAAACUAGAGUAUUGCAGGGGAGACUGGAAUUCCUGGUGUAGCGGUGAAAUGCGCAGAUAUCAGGAGGAACACCGGUGGCGAAGGCGGCCUGCUGGGCAGUUUAGCUGACACUGAGGCGCGACAGCGUGGGGAGCAACAGG